GUCUAGGGCCAUACCGCCCUGAGUGCACCCAAUCUCAUCUGAUCUUGGAUGCUAAGCGGGGUCGGGCCUGGUUAGUACUUGGUUGGGAGAAAUAAAUAAUGAACACAAAAGAUGAAAAAACUGUAGCCCAGAGA
ensembl:rRNA 5S_rRNA 5S ribosomal RNA